GGGACUGCGGAAGGAUCAUUGAAUUAUUAAAACCACACCGUGAACCUCCCCGUUUCGCGUUCCGGCUUGUCCAGCUGGGCGGUUGGCUCAUCCCCGAUCGGCUCCAGCAGCUGCAACGUGUUCAAUAUGUUGAACGCGUUGCGGUGGCGCCGGGGCGUGCUUUUUUACACCAUGUCUCACCACUCUUGAAACCAAAAUCUAAAGCAAGAACGACUGCUCGUAAUUGUGGCGGUCUUAACAAAGACAACUCUCAACAACGGAUAUCUUGGCUCUCGCAACGAUGAAGAACGCAGCGAAAUGCGAUACGUAGUGUGAAUUGCAGAAUUCCGUGAACCAUCGAAUCUUUGAACGCAUAUUGCGCUCGAGCCUUCGGGCAAGAGCAUGUCUGCCUCAGCGUCGGUUUAUACCUCUCACCCCCCUCCCGCCAACUUGGUCGGGGGUCGGAUUGACUGCUCUCAGUCGGUCUCGGGGGUGGAUCUGGCUUUCCCAGUCGGCGGCGGCUUUGUUGUCGCGGACUGGGUUGGCUGAAGCUCAGAGGCUUAACCACGGACCCGAAUGGGCUUCAACUGGAUAGGUAGCACCGGCUCUUCUGAGCCGUCUACACGAAGUUGUGGCCUGUGGACCUUGGUAGGGGCCAAGCAGGAAACGCGUCCGACCCGGCGCGUCCUAAACUUUCGACCUGAGCUCAGGCAAGGCUACCGUAAUU
rnacentral:rRNA from 1 species